rnacentral:rRNA from 1 species
ACCUCGGAUCAGGUAGGAAUACCCGCUGAACUUAAGCAUAUCAAUAAGCGGAGGAAAAGAAACCAACAGGGAUUGCCCCAGUAACGGCGAGUGAAGCGGCAACAGCUCAAAUNUGAAAUCUGGNCCCAGGCCCGAGUNGUAAUUUGCAGAGGAUGCNUNUUGGCGCGGUGCCUUCCGAGUNCCCUGGANCGGG